rnacentral:lncRNA from 1 species
UGGCCGUGCAGCCCGCGCCUACUAGGUCAUCUGCUGACGUCACCAGGAAGUGGACACGGUGCUGAAAUACUUGACAUUUGAGGUUUGGGGAUUUGAGGCAGGAUGAAUAGAGGAUAGCAAGAGAGAAUUGCUUGCAGAACUGUCUCAAGAAGAAAACAGAGAGGGAGAGCCAUCUGGAGACCACCAGAGAGAACGCAGAUCAGAGAAAAA